rnacentral:rRNA from 1 species
GACGAACGCUGGCGGCGUGCUUAACACAUGCAAGUCGAACGGUAAGGCCCUUCGGGGUACACGAGUGGCGAACGGGUGGGUAACACGUGGGUGAUCUGCCCUGCAGUUCGGGAUAAGCCUGGGAAACUGGGUCUAAUACCGGAUAGGACCACUGCCUGCAGGGGGGGUGGUGGAAAGCUUUUGCGGUGUGGGAUGGGCCCGCGGCCUAUCAGCUCGUUGGUGGGGUGAUGGGCUACCAAGGCGACGACGGGUAGCCGGCCUGAGAGGGUGACCGGCCACACUGGGACUGAGAUACGGCCCAGACUCCUACGGGAGGCAGCAGUGGGGAAUAUUGCACAAUGGGCGCAAGCCUGAUGCAGCGACGCCGCGUGAGGGAUGACGGCCUUCGGGUUGUAAACCUCUUUCAGCACCGACGAAGCGCAAGUGACGGUAGGUGCAGAAGAAGGACCGGCCAACUACGUGCCAGCCGCCGCAGUAA